ensembl:misc_RNA
UAGAGGCAGCGGAGACAGGAAUGGAGCCAAGGCGGCGGAGGCGGGAGGCGGGAGGGAAACCAGCCU